rnacentral:piRNA from 1 species
UGAGGUCUCAUAUGCUCAAGGGCCAUCAGGC